rnacentral:rRNA from 1 species
GACGAACCGUGCAACCGUUAUUCGGAAUCACUGGGCUUAAAGGGCGCGUAGGCGGGUUCUCAAGUCAGGGGUGAAAUCCUCCAGCUUAACUGGAGAAGUGCUUUUGAUACUGGGGACCUCGAGUGAGGUAGGGGCAUGUGGAACUUCCGGUGGAGCGGUGAAAUGCGUAGAUAUCGGAAGGAACGCCGGUGGCGAAAGCGACGUGCUGGACCUCUUCUGACGCUGAGGCGCGAAAGCUAGGGGAGCAAACGGG